rnacentral:rRNA from 1 species
UGUCGUAAGGGAAAAUAAUGAUAAUACCUUACUAUUAGUGUCGUCCAAAUCUGGUGCCAGAAGACUCGGUAAGACCAGAGACGCAAACGUUAAUCAUCAUAAUCAGGCGUAAAGGGUUUGUAGGCAGCAUUUACCAGACUAUGAAUAAUAAAAUAAAGUAGUUUAAUUUUAUGCUAGAAUCAAAAAGAGGUUAUAUUGUAUAACGCCUAGAGGAGGGCUGAUAUCCAUAGAUCCUAGGCAGAAUACUAAAGGCGAAGGCCACUCUCCACUACUGAUUGACGCUGAGAAACGAAGGUUAGGGUAGGAAAUAGGAUUAGAUACCCCGGUACUCCUUUCUGUAAACGAUGAAUGGUAGUCAUUAGUUAUAAAACUAGAGACGAAGUUAACACAAUAACCAUUCCGCCUUGUGAGUACUACUGCAAAGUAGAAAACAAAAAAAUUAGUCGGUCUCGAAGCAAACGGAGUGAAGCA